rfam:Asian citrus Psyllid, Diaphorina citri - Florida Strain, whole genome shotgun sequence.
GCCUAGUUAGCUUAGUUGGUAGAGCGUCUGCCUUGUAAGCGCUAGGCCGCGGGUUCGAUUCCUGCCCGGGGCG